GGGGCUAUGGCGCAGCUGGUAGCGCAUCUGCAUGGCAUGCAGGGGGUCACGGGUUCGAAUCCCGUUAGCUCCACGA
rnacentral:tRNA from 2 species